ensembl:lncRNA
UUUCAAACACGGAAGUAAUAGUAAGUGUCUCCCUGGAAGACCUCCUACUGCAGCACACAUUUCACCAGCUUUCAGGGUGAAAUACUGUGUUCCCGAGCCUGCCAGAAAGAGACCUCUGCCCCAGUACCAGCCUGGACCCAGGACUCUGGCUACCACUUCUACCUUAAUGUGGCUCAGUUCUCCUCGAGAAUUAGCAAGAUCCCCACAUUAAAUCAUAGGAGGAUUUGGAGAAAGAAUCACAGAAUCCCAGGCCUGGGCACCAGCCGUCUUCUCCAGUGCUUCUCCAGCUUCUCCUGGAUGAAAAUGAAAGCUCUCGCUGACAGCAACAUCAACAGUGACAAACCCGGGCCUUCUACCCGUAACUGCUGAGCCUGCUUCCCAGGAAGAGGUUUUGAGGACUUCCAGAGUUCUCAUCACUAAGAAAAGUUGGGGAGCCUGGCUAGCUACUCUCCU